rnacentral:tRNA from 1 species
AACAACAAAGCAAAGCACUGAAAAUGCUUAGAUGGGUUUUCAUACCCCAUAAACA